rnacentral:rRNA from 1 species
UAAUACGUAGGGGGCAAGCGUUGUCCGGAAUCAUUGGGCGUAAAGCGCGCGUAGGCGGCCCGGUAAGUCCGCUGUGAAAGUCAAAGGCUCAACCUUUGAAUGCCGGUGGAUACUGUCGGGCUAGAGUCCGGAAGAGGCGAGUGGAAUUCCUGGUGUAGCGGUGGAAUGCGCAGAUAUCAGGAGGAACACCAAUAGCGAAGGCAGCUCGCUGGGACGGUACUGACGCUAAGGCGCGAAAGCGUGGGGAGCGAACAGGAUUAGAUACCCUGGUAGUCCACGCCGUAAACGAUGGGCACUAGGUGUGGGAGGUGUCGACUCCUCCCGUGCCGUCGCUAACGCACUAAGUGCCCCGCCUGGGGAGUACGGCCGCAAGGCUA